CCGCGUUAUAACUUGGUUUGCCAGCCAUUGAUUACAGCCACGGUGCCUUAUCUUCCCCUUACACGCCUGGGGAUCAGGAUCCCCAUGGUCUUUAAAUGUCUCGUACAUCCCCGAAAUUAAUAUCUGUUGGUCCAAUAUCAUCCGUCGUACGCCAACCUCCAACCUUUGCCUGCGAAUUACGGAACAGCUUUAUUAAAGGAGCGAACGGAAUGCGCAGGCGCGGCCGCCAGACCUACACGCGCUACCAGACGCUCGAACUGGAGAAGGAAUUCCACACGAACCACUACCUCACCAGGCGGAGGCGGAUCGAGAUGGCACACUCGCUCUGCCUGACGGAACGGCAGAUCAAGAUCUGGUUCCAGAAUCGGCGGAUGAAGCUGAAGAAGGAGAUACAGGCGAUCAAGGAGCUGAACGAGCAGGAGAAGCAGGCGCAGGCGCAGAAGGCAGCGGCAGCAGCGGCCGCGGCUGCGCAUCAGCAGCAAGCGGCCGGUGGGGGACCGGAGGGGGCCAACUAGGGGUACGCCCUGCACCGGAGCCCCCCUGACCACCCCACCACCAAUCCACACCACCCUCUGCUAGCACCGCAAUGUACACAGCUAUAUUAAAGGUGCGGCACAACUUCGUUAGCAGGGUGGACAGAGGAACGGAACGUGUCUGGAGCGGCUUGGCGUUUUGAACGAAGGUACCA